CCUACGGGGGUCAGCAGUGAGGAAUAUUGGUCAAUGGGCGCGAGCCUGAACCAGCCAAGCCGCGUGAGGGAUGAAGGCCCUAUGGAUCGUAAAUCUCUUUUAUAAGGGGAUAAAGUGUGGGACGUGUCCUAUUUUGUAUGUACCUUAUGAAUAAGGACCGGCUAACCCGGUGCCAGCAGCCGCGGUAAUCCGGGGGAUCCGAGGGUUAUCCGGUUUUAUUGGGUUUAAAGGGUAGGUAGGUGGCCUUUUAAGUCAGCGGUGAAAGUCUGUGGCUCAACCAGGGAAUUGCCGUUGAAACUGGGGAGCUGGAGUAUGUUUGAGGCAGGAGGAAUGCGUGGUGUAGCGGUGAAAUGCUUAGAUAUCACGCAGAACCCCGAUUGCGAAGGCAGCCUGCCAAGCCAUGACUGACGCUGAUGCACGAAAGCGUGGGGAUCAAACAGGAUUAGAUACCCGAGUAGUC
rnacentral:rRNA from 1 species